rnacentral:tRNA from 1 species
GGGUUGUUAGCUCAGUUGGUAGAGCAGCGGACUCUUAAUCCGUCGGUCGAGAGUUCGAGACUCUCACAGCCCACCA